rnacentral:lncRNA from 1 species
GUCAAAUGGUGGCUAUGUCUCACGAAGAAGAAGCUGCCGACGAACAAGCCGCUGCUGCUGGAAUUUGAACCUUGGCUCAGCAUGCUGCUCAGGAUGCUUCGGAUCAGGGUCAAAGUUCUGACUCCGAAACAGAAAGUGAUAAUCCUAGUUGCGCUCUCUUCGUGAGCGCCGAAUUUUCCAACGUUGCUGCAGGCUGCCUAGACUUAGCCGAAGGCUCCCUUCUUGUAACAUUAUUUUUUUUGAAAAAAAAAAGAUUCCAGAGGUUCUAAUCCAAUUUGAGCUAAGACCUAGCAGACCUAGCAAAUCAGCUCACUCCCUUGGAAUCCUUUCCCUCAAAACCUAGGGGAACCGAGCCCCUUCCCCCACCGCCGCCCCUCUCCCUCCUGUUCGAGCUCCUCGCCAAGAACGUCUCUCUCCCUCUCCACAGCACCCUCCCCCUC